rnacentral:rRNA from 1 species
GAUGAACGCUGGCGGCGUGCCUAAUACAUGCAAGUCGAGCGAACAUAUGAGGAGCUUGCUCCUCUGACGUUAGCGGCGGACGGGUGAGUAACACGUGGAUAACCUACCUAUAAGACUGGGAUAACUUCGGGAAACCGGAGCUAAUACCGGAUAAUAUCUUGAACCGCAUGGUUCAAUAGUGAAAGACGGUUUUGCUGUCACUUAUAGAUGGAUCCGCGCCGCAUUAGCUAGUUGGUAAGGUAACGGCUUACCAAGGCAACGAUGCGUAGCCGACCUGAGAGGGUGAUCGGCCACACUGGAACUGAGACACGGUCCAGACUCCUACGGGAGGCAGCAGUAGGGAAUCUUCCGCAAUGGGCGAAAGCCUGACGGAGCAACGCCGCGUGAGUGAUGAAGGUCUUCGGAUCGUAAAACUCUGUUAUUAGGGAAGAACAAAUGUGUAAGUAACUAUGCACGUCUUGACGGUACCUAAUCAGAAAGCCACGGCUAACUACGUG